rnacentral:rRNA from 1 species
UUGUCUCAAAGAUUAAGCCAUGCAUGUCUCAGUACAAACUAACAUAAAGUGAAACCGCGAAAGGCUCAUUAAAUCAGUUAUGGUUCCUUAGAUCGUACCCACAUUUACUUGGAUAACUGUGGCAAUUCUAGAGCUAAUACAUGCAAACAGGGCUCCGUUCGGAGACGGACGGAGCGCUUUUAUUAGAUCAAAACCAAUCGGCGGCGGCGCCGUGUUAACGCGCGGCGUCCGUCCGCCGUCAUGACUGGUGACUCUGAAUAACUAGAUGCCGAUCGCACGGUCUCGCACCGGCGACGCGUCUUUCAAAUGUCUGCCUUAUCAACUGUCGAUGGUAGGUUCUGCGCCUACCAUGGUUGUUACGGGUAACGGGGAAUCAGGGUUCGAUUCCGGAGAGGGAGCCUGAGAAACGGCUACCACAUCCAAGGAAGGCAGCAGGCGCGCAAAUUACCCACUCCCGGCACGGGGAGGUAGUGACGAAAAAUAACGAUACGAGACUCAUCCGAGGCUUCGUAAUCGGAAUGAGUACACUUUAAAUCCUUUAACGAGGAUCAAUUGGAGGGCAAGUCUGGUGCCAGCAGCCGCGGUAAUUCCAGCUCCAAUAGCGUAUAUUAAAGUUGUUGCGUUUAAAAAGCUCGUAGUUGAAUUUGUGUCCCGCACUGUCGGUUCACCGCUCGCGGUGUUCAACUGGCACGCUCGCGGGACGUCCUGCCGGUGGGUCACUAUCGUCUGCACUCCCGUGCGCGUCGCUCCGCCGACGUCCGACAAGUGGCGGGUGGGUCGCGAGCCCACGACGGCCCGCGCGCGCCCGCGGUACCUGACAGGCGUCGGGGGAGGCCGCGCGGUUAGCGCGCGGUGUCCGUACGGUCACUCGUCCUCCGUCGCCCGGAAUGCUCGUGCGAGCGCGCGUCGCGCGCCCGACUCUGCAAUCCCGCCGCGGUGCUCUUGAUCGAGUGUCGAGGUGGGCCGGCACGUUUACUUUGAACAAAUUAGAGUGCUCAAAGCAGGCCAGUGACCAGCCUGAAUAUUGUGUGCAUGGAAUAAUGGAACAGGACCUCGGUUCUACUUUUGUUGGUUUUACGAAUACCCGAGGUAAUGAUUAAUAGGGAUGGCCGGGGGCAUUCGUAUUGCGACGUUAGAGGUGAAAUUCUUGGACCGUCGCAAGACGGACAUAAGCGAAAGCAUUUGCCAAAAAUGUUUUCAUUAAUCAAGAACGAAAGUCAGAGGUUCGAAGGCGAUCAGAUACCGCCCUAGUUCUGACCAUAAACGAUGCCAGCUGGCGAUCCGCCGAUGUUCCUCCGAUGACACGACGGGCAGCCUACGGGAAACCAAAGCUUUUGGGUUCCGGGGGAAGUAUGGUUGCAAAGCUGAAACUUAAAGGAAUUGACGGAAGGGCACCACCAGGAGUGGAGCCUGCGGCUUAAUUUGACUCAACACGGGAAACCUCACCAGGCCCGGACACCGGAAGGAUUGACAGAUUGAGAGCUCUUUCUUGAUUCGGUGGGUGGUGGUGCAUGGCCGUUCUUAGUUGGUGGAGCGAUUUGUCUGGUUAAUUCCGAUAACGAACGAGACUCUAGCCUGCUAAAUAGACGAACUCUUACCGGUAUCUGGAAGGCUCGCGUGCGGUCCGGGCCGUGCGUUGUCUCUCGGCUCGUGCGUGGCGUUCGUUUACACGUGCGUCCGCCCUGUCGAGGCGCGCCCGGUCCCGCGGCGUCCGCGGUUUUUACUACCGGCGUUCACUGAUCUCUUCUUAGAGGGACAGGCGGCUCCUAGCCGCACGAGAUUGAGCAAUAACAGGUCUGUGAUGCCCUUAGAUGUUCUGGGCCGCACGCGCGCUACACUGAAGGAAUCAGCGUGUCCUCCCUGGCCGAACGGUCCGGGUAACCCGCUGAACCUCCUUCGUGCUAGGGAUUGGGGCUUGCAAUUGUUCCCCAUGAACGAGGAAUUCCCAGUAAGCGCGAGUCAUAAGCUCGCGUUGAUUAAGUCCCUGCCCUUUGUACACACCGCCCGUCGCUACUACCGAUUGAAUGAUUUAGUGAGGUCUUCGGACCGGUACGCGGCGACGUUUCGACGCCGCCGAUGUCGCUGGGAAGAUGACCAAACUUGAUCAUUU